CCUACGGGUGGCAGCAGUGAGGAAUAUUGGUCAAUGGACGAGAGUCUGAACCAGCCAAGUAGCGUGAAGGAUGACUGCCCUAUGGGUUGUAAACUUCUUUUAUAUGGGAAUAAUAUGUUCCACGUGUGGGAUUUUGUAUGUACCAUCUGAAUAAGGCUCGGCUAACGCCUUUCCAGCAGCCGCGGUAAUACGGAGGAUCCGAGCGUUAUCCGGCUUUUUUGGGUUUAAAGGGAGCGUAGGUGGAUUGUUCAGUCAGUUGUGAAAGUUUGCGGCUCAACCGUAAAAUUGCAGUUGAAACUGGCAGUCUUGAGUACAGGAGAGGUGGGCGGAAUUCGUGGUGUAGCGGUGAAAUGCUUAGAUAUCACGAAGAACUCCGAUUGCGAAGGCAGCACACUGGACUGCAACUGACACUGAGGCACGAAAGUGUGGGUAUCAAACAGGAUUAGAUACCCCAGUAGUC
rnacentral:rRNA from 1 species